CAGCCGCCGCGGGAAUACAGAGGGUGCAAGCGUUAAUCGGAAUUACUGGGCGUAAAGCGCGCGUAGGUGGUUUGUUAAGUUGGAUGUGAAAUCCCCGGGCUCAACCUGGGAACUGCAUCCAAAACUGGCAAGCUAGAGUAUGGUAGAGGGUGGUGGAAUUUCCUGUGUAGCGGUGAAAUGCGUAGAUAUAGGAAGGAACACCAGUGGCGAAGGCGACCACCUGGACUGAUACUGACACUGAGGUGCGAAAGCGUGGGGAGCAAACAGGAUUAGAUACCACUGUAGUCCUGUCUCUUAUACA
rnacentral:rRNA from 1 species